GACGAACGCUGGCGGCGUGCCUAAUACAUGCAAGUUGAGCGCUGAAGGUUGGUACUUGUACCAACUGGAUGAGCAGCGAACGGGUGAGUAACGCGUGGGGAAUCUGCCUUUGAGCGGGGGACAACAUUUGGAAACGAAUGCUAAUACCGCAUAAAAACUUUAAACACAAGUUUUAAGUUUGAAAGAUGCAAUUGCAUCACUCAAAGAUGAUCCCGCGUUGUAUUAGCUAGUUGGUGAGGUAAAGGCUCACCAAGGCGAUGAUACAUAGCCGACCUGGGAGGGUGAUCGGCCACAUUGGGACUGAGACACGGCCCAAACUCCUACGGGAGGCAGCAGUAGGGAAUCUUCGGCAAUGGACGAAAGUCUGACCGAGCAACGCCGCGUGAGUGAAGAAGGUGUUCGGAUCGUAAAACUCUGUUGGUAGAGAAGAACGUUGGUGAGAGUGGAAAGCUCAUCAAGUGACGGUAACUACCCAGAAAGGGACGGCUAACUACGU
rnacentral:rRNA from 1 species